rnacentral:lncRNA from 1 species
UUUCGCCGAGAUGGGCUUUCGGCCCAAAAGCGGCCCAAUACAAUCUUUAACUUAUAAUACUCAUAACCGUUCCUUGUUUGCAAAACUUAAAGGCAAACCCUAGUUCUUUCUUUCUCCCUACGAAUUAACGGCGAGCAUCAUCAUCUUGGAAUCAUUCUGAUCCCUUGUUCCGGUUGUUAUACAUCUCGGUCAGUAAUAUCCUUGCAUGUCUUAUUCCUUAUGUGACUUGGUUGAAUCACCUGAACACGUAGCUAAUCUUACCGAGCAACCGAAGGUCGUUAGAUUACUUGGAUUUGGAACUUGUUGUCUAAAGUAGCUGGAGUGGUCAUGGGUCGCUCUGUUUGGAUACACAUAUUGGUUCAUUGAUUUCGUAUAAUUGUUUUAAGAAUAUUUAAACUAUGGUUUCGUU